rnacentral:rRNA from 1 species
GUCAGGUUGAAGUUCAGGUAACACUGAAUGGAGGACCGAACCGACUUACGUUGAAAAGUGAGCGGAUGAACUGAGGGUAGCGGAGAAAUUCCAAUCGAACUUGGAGAUAGCUGGUUCUCUCCGAAAUAGCUUUAGGGCUAGCCUCAAGUGAUGAUUAUUGGAGGUAGAGCACUGUUUGGACGAGGGGCCCCUCUCGGGUUACCGAAUUCAGACAAACUCCGAAUGCCAAUUAAUUUAACUUGGGAGUCAGAACAUGGGUGAUAAGGUCCGUGUUCGAAAGGGAAACAGCCCAGACCACCAGCUAAGGUCCCAAAAUAUAUGUUAAGUGGAAAAGGAUGUGGCGUUGCCCAGACAACUAGGAUGUUGGCUUAGAAGCAGCCAUCAUUUAAAGAGUGCGUAAUAGCUCACUAGUCGAGUGACACUGCGCCGAAAAUGUAACGGGGCUAAACAUAUUACCGAAGCUGUGGAUUGUCCUUUGGACAAUGGUAGGAGAGCGUUCUAAGGGCGUCGAAGCAUGAUCGCAAGGACAUGUGGAGCACUUAGAAGUGAGAAUGCCGGUGUGAGUAG